AUUGUCUUAAAUGUAACUGUCACUGACACACCUGUGAGUCCAAAGAAAUAGAUACAGAGUGGUGUCCCAGUAGGCAGGAGGGCAGCGGUGGCUGUGUCAGCCAGGUGUCACAAUGGGCAGCGGGGCAGCGGUGGCUGUGUCACCCAGGCGUCACAGUGGGGCCGUGACACGUCCGCCCAGUCGGGAUAAAAGGCCCCUGGUUGUGGGCAGGCCCCAGUCGGGAUGGAAGCCCCUGGCAGCAGGCAGCAGAGGGCAGAGCAGGGCAGGACAGGGAGGUGAGUGCGCGAUGGAGCAGGGGCUGAAGCGGUGUCCGAGGCUGAGCAGGGCCAGAGUCCCGCUGCAGCCUGAGCAGGGGCUGGAGCUCAGCAGCUGCUCGAGCAGGGGCUGGCUUUGAGCAGCCCCCACAGCACAACGGGAACCAAGUGUUUGCUGCAGAAACGGUGUUGCAGACCUUCCACCCAAGUGUUUGGGUGUCCUGGG